rnacentral:piRNA from 1 species
UGGCAGAACUCACUAACUACAAGGA